GGACAAAAGAAUGGGGACGAAGGGAGUAAUUAACUAAUUGUUGUCGGCUUCUCCUGGUUUAUACGAGGGUAUCUAUGAAAAAUGGGGGUGGUGUUGGUUAGUGAAUGGUGGUACAGUAGGUGGUAUGCAGAUGAUGGUAGAACUGUGGCAGUGAUGGUUGCAGCUUUCAGCAGUUUCUAUUAAGACUGCUAGAGAAUGAAUGGAGACCAUUGCCUCA